rnacentral:lncRNA from 1 species
UAGAGCAGUGCUGAUGACAUGUUAAACAACGUAGUUGUGGCAGAUCACCGAUCCGAACUCCGAACCCUCCCAACAGCAGUAGGGGCGUGAGAAGUUGUAGAAGCCCGUUCCCUUCCCAGCAACCCAACACAGAGAGGAACAAGAGACACAGUGAAUGGAAGCUCUUUCUGUCUAUCUUUAUUAUGAGGGAUAUAGGUACAUAUAUAUAACCUGUGUACCCCUAAGAGCAGUUUCGGUAUUAGCCCAUUAAACCCCUUUUAGAUUUUCUCAACAGGGCUCAUAUGGC